UACGUAGGGUGCAAGCGUUAAUCGGAAUUACUGGGCGUAAAGCGUGCGUAGGCGGCUAUGUAAGACAGAUGUGGAAUCCCUGGGCUUAACCUAGGAACUGCAUUUGUGACUGCAUUGCUAGAGUGUGGUAGAGGGAGAUGGAAUUCCGCAUGUAGCAGUGAAAUGCGUAGAUAUGCGGAGGAACACCAAUGGCGAAGGCAAUCUCCUGGACCUGCACUGACGCUCAUGCACGAAAGCGUGGGGAGCAAACAGG
rnacentral:rRNA from 1 species